GACGAACGCUGGCGGCGUGCUUAACACAUGCAAGUCGAACGGAAAGGCCCCUUUGGGGGUACUCGAGUGGCGAACGGGUGAGUAACACGUGAGUAACCUGCCCUUGACUUCGGGAUAACUUCAGGAAACUGGGGCUAAUACCGGAUAGGAAUCCUUGCUGCAUGGUGGGGGUUGGAAAGCUUCGGCGGUUUUGGAUGGACUCGCGGCUUAUCAGCUUGUUGGUUGGGUAGGGGCUUACCAAGGCUUUGACGGGUAGCCGGCCUGAGAGGGCGACCGGCCACAUUGGGACUGAGAUACGGCCCAGACUCCUACGGGAGGCAGCAGUGGGGAAUAUUGCAAAAUGGGCGGAAGCCUGAUGCAGCAACGCCGCGUGCGGGAUGAAGGCCUUCGGGUUGUAAACCGCUUUCAGCAGGGGCGAAGCUUGUGGUGACGGUAACUGCAGAAGAAGCACCGGCUAACUACGUG
rnacentral:rRNA from 1 species